CUUAGAAAUAACCAAUCAGAUACUUUGUAACAAAUGCAACACAAUCAGUGCGUUCAGUAAGUAUAACGUUUCAAGAUGGCGGAGCGAAUUGCAUGGUUAUUGUUUCUACUCGAUGGAUUCGCAGAUAAUUCGGAAAUAGAUCAGAUUGGGAUCAAUAACUGUAUUGCAUACGAUCAUUUACAUGUAUAACCAGGUGUGUGUUGCCAGUAAUGGUUGAAGAUAUGCCAAACAAAUUGUGCCUCUCUACAGACAGAUUUCAGGUCUCAAUUUCGACUUCAAAGGUCAACAUAUCACUGAUAUCAGGAAUUCUGUACAACUGUGGAACCAUGUAUGGUACGUGACCGCACAAUGUUGGUUGGCAAAAGGAUAUUGGAAUAAGCAAAGGGACUCAACAUUACACAGUCAUUUCAACAUGUAGUCUUGUCAGCAAUGAUGGAGCAGUACUUCAGAUUUCCAGAAUCUCGUCAUGAGCUGAAGAUCAUUGCCUAUGAAUUUCAUGAAUGAUGUAGAAUGAUUGGACUGUUGAUGGAACCCACAGUGCAUGUCCUGCUUCAACAUCUGAGCAUAGGUCCUUGUUUAUCAGCAGUUUAGUUCUUCAAGCAGUCUGUGACAGUAACUUGAAAUGUUUGGACAUAUGACCUGGAUGGCCAAGUUCUGUGCAUGAAGCCCAUUUAAAUAGGAACGGCCCAGUGGCGCAUUAAAUGGACAUUUUUCGAAUGUUCUCGAGGAUUCAGCUUACCGCCUGACAAGAAAUCUUGCUUUUUGUUCAGUAUUGAGGCCAUGGACAUUUGUAUCAUUUGCAAAAGAUACUGCGAUAUUUGUGCCUUUGUUCAUGCUUUAUAGUUGAUUAACAAUUGGAAGCCAUAACCUGUUUUAUAGGAUGGUGUUAGUGGGACAAUGAAUUUUGUAAAGAUUUAAAGACUGGAAAAGAUAAUUAAAAGUCAAAAGAGUUCUGCUAUUGUUAAGCAUGCUUUAUUGAUUUGUAAUGUUAGAAAGAUAGCAUUAUUAACAGAAUAAAAUGUCCAUAAUUUGAA